AUACGGAGGGUGCAAGCAUUAAUCGGAUUUAUUGGGCGUAAAGCGCGUGUAGGCGGUCUGUUAAGUCUGGUGUGAAAGCCCUGGGCUCAACCCAGGAAGUGCAUUGGAUACUGACAGACACGAGUAUGGGAGAGGAAAGCGGAAUUCCGAGUGUAGGAGUGAAAUCCGUAGAUAUUCGGAGGAACACCAGUGGCGAAGGCGGCUUUCUGGACCAAUACUGACGCUGAGACGCGAAAGCGUGGGGAGCAAACAGGAUUAGAAACCCUAGUAGUCC
rnacentral:rRNA from 1 species